rnacentral:rRNA from 1 species
UACAGAGGGUGCUAGCGUUAAUCGGAUUUACUGGGCGUAAAGCGUGUGUAGGCGGUUUGUUAAGUCGGGUGUGAAAUCCCUGGGCUCAACCUGGGAAUUGCAUUCGAUACUGGCAAGCUAGAGUACGGUAGAGGGCGGCGGAAUUCCGGGUGUAGCGGUGAAAUGCGUAGAUAUCUGGAGGAACACCGGUGGCGAAGGCGGCAUCCUGGACCAACACUGACACUGAUGAGCGAAAGCCAGGGGAGCAAACGGG